GCUGGCGGCGUGCCUAACACAUGCAAGUCGAACGAGAAAGUGGAGCAAUCCAUGAGUACAGUGGCGUACGGGUGAGUAACACGUGACUAACCUACCCUCGAGUGGGGAAUAACUUCGGGAAACCGAGGCUAAUACCGCAUAAUGUCUACGGACCAAAUGCGUAAGCAGCUCGAGGAGGGGGUCGCGGCUGAUUAGCUUGUUGGCGGGGUAACGGCCCACCAAGGCAAUGAUCAGUAGCCGGCCUGAGAGGGCGCACGGCCACACUGGAACUGAAACACGGUCCAGACUCCUACGGGAGGCAGCAGUGGGGAAUUUUGCGCAAUGGGGGAAACCCUGACGCAGCAACGCCGCGUGGAGGAUGAAGCCCCUUGGGGUGUAAACUCCUUUCGAUCGGGACGAUUAUGACGGUACCGGAUGAAGAAGCACCGGCUAACUCUGUGCCAGCAGCCGCGGUAAUACAGAGGGUGCAAGCGUUGUUCGGAAUUAUUGGGCGUAAAGGGUGCGUANGCGGUGCGGUAAGUCUUCUGUGAAACCUCCGGGCUUAACUCGGAGCCUG
rnacentral:rRNA from 1 species